GGUGCUCGAGUGGCGAACGGGUGAGUAACACGUGAGUAACCUGCCCUUGACUUUGGGAUAACUUCGGGAAACUGGGGCUAAUACCGGAUAGGAGCUCCUGCUGCAUGGUGGGGGUUGGAAAGUUUCGGCGGUUGGGGAUGGACUCGCGGCUUAUCAGCUUGUUGGUGGGGUAGUGGCUUACCAAGGCUUUGACGGGUAGCCGGCCUGAGAGGGUGACCGGCCACAUUGGGACUGAGAUACGGCCCAG
rnacentral:rRNA from 1 species